GACGAACGCUGGCGGCGUGCUUAACACAUGCAAGUCGAACGGAAAGGCCCUGCUUUUGUUGGUUUCUCGAUUGGCGAACACGUGAGUGACACGUGUGUAACCUGCCCUUAACUUUGUGAUAACUUCAGGAAACUGGGGCUAAUAUCGGAUAUGAUCUCCUGCUGCAUGUGGUGGGAUGGAAAGUUUCGGCGGUUGGGGAUGUAUUCGAGGCUUAUCAGCUUGUUGGUGUGGUAGGGGCUUCCCAAGGCUUUGACGGGUAGCCUGCCUGAGAGGGUUACCGGGCACAUGAGGACUGAGAGACGGAGCAGACUCGAACGGGAGGCAGCAGUGGGAAGUCUUGCAGAAUAGGCGGACGCCUGAUGUAGCAGCGCCGCGAGCGGGAUACCGGCUUACGGGUUGUGAACAAAUUUGGAAUGUGAUGAAGACUGCGUGACGGUACUGGGUCAAGAAGCAACGGCUAACUACGUG
rnacentral:rRNA from 1 species